AAUUUUUAUGGUUAGAUUCAUUUGUGACUAAUUUAUUUAUAAAGCUGAUUAUUUAUAAAAUUUUAAUAUUUUCACUUCAUGAAUACAUAUAACAACAAUAUCUGAUAUUCUGAUAGAAUUAUGUAUAAUUAUGUUACUUGUGUGGUUUAAAAUUUGCUUAACUCGAUUAUAAAUAAAUCAAUUCCUUGUUUUAUGUACUUCAACGAUAUUGUGAUAGGUUCAUGAUUAAAGUUUGGAUUGACAUCAACUGAAUAAGAUCUGAAAAAUAUUCAUAUGUAAAAAUAAGAAGAUGGCAAAAAUUGAAUAUCAUUUAAGUCAACAAUUUUAGAUUUUCUAUCAUUGCAUAUAUCAAUAUUAGAAAAAUGAUCAUGUCUUGGAUGAUUUGAAAAUUGUCUAACUUGAUUACAAAUAAACUAUUUCUGGUCUUAUAUAUUCUCUUGAUAUAAUAAUCAACAACAUUGUUAUAAGCUCAUGAUUAAAUAUAUAAAAUUG
rnacentral:sRNA from 1 species